rnacentral:rRNA from 1 species
CAAUAGCGUAUAUUAAAGUUGUUGCAGUUAAAAAGCUCGUAGUUGAACUUCUGUACAUUCCCGGUGCCGGCUCUUGUCGAACCGUGGCAGUGUGCAUCCGCUUACAAACUUAGACCGGCAUUCACUUGUCGACUAAGGGAGUAGGCCCUUUACUUUGAAAAAAUUAGAGUGUUUCAAGCAGGCAAUGGUUUGAAUACAUUAGCAUGGAAUAAUGGAAUAGGACUGAUGUCCAUUUGGUUGGUUAUUGGAUGUUAGUAAUGAUUAACAGGGACAGUUGGGGGCAUUAGUACUUAACAGUCAGAAGUGAAAUUCUAUGAUUUGUUAAAGACUAACUUAUGCGAAAGCAUUUGCCAAGGAUGUUUUCAUUAA